ensembl:lncRNA
AUGAUGUGUGAUUUUUGCUGCACAGGUGAACCAGGCCCACAAGGCUUCAGAGGACAAAUCGGACCUGCAGGACCAAAAGGGGACAGAGGGUCUUUUGGACCACAAGGACUUAAGGGUGAUCUUGGUGAAAAGGGAGACCCAGGGAUACCAGGAUUUGCAGGGCCUCCAGGGAGACAAGGACCUGCAGGUGAAAAAGGAAUCAAAGGCUCGGCAGGAGAUCCAGGCACUGAUGGAGAAAAAGGACAAAGAGGUAAGUUGUGUACUUAUAGUAAAUUAUUUGAGAAGACUUCAUUGUAUUGAUUUAAACUUCAUCAUAUUGAUUUUGCUAUUAAUUCUAAGGUGACCAAGGAUCAAUUGGGUUGCCAGGAAUCAGAGGCCCAGCUGGGCCACCUGGUGAACCUGGACCUCCAGGAGUACCAGGGCUUCAAGGACCACCAGGUAAUUAAUGGAGUUUAUGAUAUCUUCUUAUUCCCAAAUUGUAUAAAUACUAGUGUAAUAUGUAACACCAUGCAAAAAUGAAAUGCCAACAUUAAGAGUAUUUAUUUCCUUGCAUAUAGGAAUUGCAGGAAUUCCAGGCCAGCCUGGCAUUAAAGGUUUUUAUUUAUGCUUGACUAUACGUUAAUUAAGCAAUAGCUUUUUUUGCAUGCAAUAUUGUAUUGUCUUCAUAUGAGAAAAUUAAGAAUAAAAUCCAAAAUGUGAUUUGUGUCAUUUUUGUUUAAAAUAUAUUACAGGUGACACUGGAGAACCUGGCAGAGUUAUUAAUGCUGGUAAGCCAGAAUUUGACAGAAAAUGUUGACUUGCACACACACACACACACACACACACACUAUAUUAAAAACUGAUUUUAUACAUGCUUUGAAUCAGCAGUGGGAUCUAGCUCUAUAGCAAUCCCUGGACCACCUGGACCCCCUGGACCAACUGGACAAACUGGAGCUCCAGGAUUGUCAGGUGGGUCUCUGAUUUGACUGAUAUCAUGGCAGGAGAAUUUAUUUUGUUGGAGUAUUCUGUUGUGCUUUUUUGUCUGAUUGAUGCGUUUUGUCAUUAUAGGUCCUGUUGGCCCUGCUGGUCUUCCUGGACAACCUGGUCCUAAAGGUGAAAAAGGUGAUCAAGGAGAAGCUGGAAUCUCAGUGGAAACCAGGGAGACAGUCAGCUCCACUAGAUCUGAGAGACAGUUCGGCUCUUCCGCAUCAGGUUCCUCCCAGGUUGUUCAGGGUCCACCUGGACCACCUGGUCCACCAGGGCCUCCUGGACGCCCAGGAGACUCCAGGCCUGGACCACCAGGAGAACCAGGUCAACCAGGAUAUGGAAGACCUGGACCAAGAGGAGAGAAGGGAGAUAGAGGAGAACCUGGCAGUUUUGUGCCCAACUCUGGUAAGAUUUCCUAAUUUUUUAUAGUAAUCAUAAUAGAGUACUGGUAAGUUUACAGUUUUUCCUCACAAAUAAUCAUUAGCAAAUGUUUAAUCAAAUUCUCACCUCUGUGUUCUUAACUUAACAAAACAGGGACCUAUUUCGCUGGACCACCAGGACCACCUGGGCCUGCAGGACCUAAAGGAGACACAGGUGAGACUACAGGAUUGUCGUUAGUAGUUUUAGCUUGGUGUUUUAUUAUUAAUGGUAAGAGUAGUAG